rnacentral:tRNA from 1 species
GGAAAUGUACCUUAGUGAUAAAGGUCCAACAUGUAUUGCCUAGCAUCACAAGGCCCUGGGUUCCAAUCCCAUCAUUGCCA